rnacentral:rRNA from 1 species
GUAGUCCCGGCCGUAAACGAUGUCGACUUGGAGGUUGUGCCCUUGAGGCGUGGCUUCCGGAGCUAACGCGUUAAGUCGACCGCCUGGGGAGUACGGCCGCAAGGUUAAAACUCAAAUGAAUUGACGGGGGCCCGCACAAGCGGUGGAGCAUGUGGUUUAAUUCGAUGCAACGCGAAGAACCUUACCUGGUCUUGACAUCCACGGAAGUUUUCAGAGAUGAGAAUGUGCCUUCGGGAACCGUGAGACAGGUGCUGCAUGGCUGUCGUCAGCUCGUGUUGUGAAAUGUUGGGUUAAGUCCCGCAACGAGCGCAACCCUUAUCCUUUGUUGCCAGCGGUCCGGCCGGGAACUCAAAGGAGACUGCCAGUGAUAAACUGGAGGAAGGUGGGGAUGACGUCAAGUCAUCAUGGCCCUUACGACCAGGGCUACACACGUGCUACAAUGGCGCAUACAAAGAGAAGCGACCUCGCGAGAGCAAGCGGACCUCAUAAAGUGCGUCGUAGUCCGGAUUGGAGUCUGCAACUCGACUCCAUGAAGUCGGAAUCGCUAGUAAUCGUGGAUCAGAAUGCCACGGUGAAUACGUUCCCGGGCCUUGUACACACCGCCCGUCACACCAUGGGAGUGGGUUGCAAAAGAAGUAGGUAGCUUAACCUUCGGGAGGGCGCUUACCACUUUGUGAUUCAUGACUGGGGUGAAGUCGUAACAAGGUAACCGUAGGGGAACCUGCGGCUGGAUCACCUCC